AACGAACGCUGGCGGCAUGCCUAACACAUGCAAGUCGAACGAGACCUUCGGGUCUAGUGGCGCACGGGUGCGUAACGCGUGGGAACCUUCCCUUAUGUUCGGAAUAACUCCCCGAAGUGGGUGCUAAUACCGGAUAAUUUCUUCUGACAAAAGAUUUAUCGCCUUGGGAUGGGCCGGCGUUGGAUUGGCUAGUUGGUAGGGUAAAAGCCUACCACGGCGACGAUACAUAGCUGGUAUGAGAGGCUGAUCAGCGACACUGGGACGGAGACACGGCCCAGACUACUACGGGAGGCAGGAGUGGGGAAUAUUGGAAAAUGGGCGAAAGCCUGAUCCAGCAAUGCCGGGUGAGUGAUGAAGGUCUUAGGGUUGUAAAGCUCUUUUACACGGGAUGAUAAUGACAGUACCGGGAGAAUAAGCUCCGGCUAACUCCGUG
rnacentral:rRNA from 1 species